UCUGAUGAAGGGUCUAGGCCCGAAACGUCAGCCUCUCUGCACCUCUGAUGCUGCUUGGCCUGCUGUGUUCAUCCAGCCCUGCACCUUGUUGUCACUUAUUUGUACCAGACUGCUUCUAUUGCGUGGCCAGCAGUUAAAUGAAUAUUGUAUAACUUCGAGCUCCACUGCACCGGUUCACAUCAAGAUGGAUUACCUGUCCAUUCAUCUAAACGAAAGCAUCUGCGGACACGCAUUUUUUUCCUCACCCAUCAAAGCUCCCAACGAAUGGCGCUCAUGAUUAGGGAAUUUGGCCCUCUCAUUUCGGAGAGCACCCUUCGAUCCCACGACGUUUUGGCCGCUCUGAAUUGGGGGUCUUCAAAUACAGCUCCAGGAUUUCUGCAAGGUGUCCCGGACAUCAAGGAGCCCCUGCUCUGAGUCCAGCAAUGAUGAUCCUACCAAGAGACCAUGCUUCAGGCCAACUGCAAUGGGAGACCCCGGUCCAGGCACCUUCACCGUCUCUACCAAGUUCAUCUUCCAGGCCUACCACAGCGAGGAGUCCUUGCUCUGGUCACCGCCGCAGCCAAUGCCCUGCCAAGUCCAUUCUCCAGGUCUACCACAGCUGGGACUCCCCACUCCAGGCACUGUCAACUGCUGCAGCUGACUACUUGCCAAGACCAUGCUCCAUGCCUACCGCAGCCAUGAAUCCUUGCUCCGGGCACCACCUCUGCUGCAGCUGACACCCUGCUCCAGCUUCCCCAUGAAGUCAGAAGAUGAAGAAAAGAAAAAAAAAGAUGAAAAAGGCGAACAAGAGAAGGAUGCAGCCUGUCUGGAGCAGGCGGGCUCAGGAGUCUGAACGCUACCUACUGUGCUGGAACCACCAUCUUGAAUUGUAACACUCUGACUGUUUAAUUUUACUGUGUUGCAAAUAUAAAGGUAGAAAGCCUGUUUGGCUUGGCUGUCUGUUUCCUCCAUAGCAAUUUCCUUUGGCAGAGUCCAUAAAUUAAAAAUUAAAAUUAAAGCUACGCCAUUCAGGGGUGACAUCAAAAAUUUAUUUUUAAUGUAAAUAAUAGUGGAAAUCUGGGACCUUCUUUCCUCCCUCUGCCACCUGCCCCAAUGAAACGCUGCUGAGGCUAGGUCAGUUGAAAAGAUCAAAACAAAUAUUGAUAGAUUUCUGUUAAUGUCUAAUUAAUGCCUAUGCUUUAAACCUGAACCAUUUGUUUUCAGCCCCCAUUCACACAAAAAACAGAGAAACAAAUACAAUUAAGGAAUAAAUGAAAAAAAGUAAUAAAACUAGCCAGAUUACUUAAAUGGUUUUCACAAUGCAUUUUUCACUGGCAUAGAUGUUGACUGUUUGGUUGCUUUUUUGGGAACCUUCUCAGUUAACUCAGGUAAAGGUAAUAAUACUUCCAACUCAAAUUUCUACUAUCUGGCCUUCCAAAGGUGAGUGUGGGAGAUCAGAUAGGAAGCUUUCAAAUCUUCAGCUGUGUUGUCAGCAGCCAACCUCAUCUACUCCAAAUAAUACAGUUAAAACACAACUCUAACUCUGGUUCCGCCCUGGUGGAUUGAAUGUCUUUUCCUGAGGCUUCAAUUACCACUCAACAUCUGUCAUCUGCUUGAACAUAGUGUCUCUUCCUGACUUGCUGGAACCAAUUCCCAGGUACUGACCUCAUGAAUAGACAACUUCUGCUAUCUGUUUAAACAUGGUGCUCUUUCUGGGAUUGCUGUGUCUGUUAGAGCCCUUUUGAUCAAACAUUUUAAUCUCUAGGCCUGAUAUCUUAAAAAAGCUUAUUUGGUCUGUUCUUUUCCUUUUACCACAAGCUAUCCCAAAGUCCACGAGUCAUUCUCAACUCUCAAUUUCUAGUUCACAGCUCCAAACCAAAAUUAAUAUAAGAAUAAAAAUAAUGAAAAAUAUCAGUGAAGUUUCCAACAAAAUAUGUACUGUCUAUCUACUCUAUUAAAUCCUGAAAUCAUCUUAAAACUUUGAUUAGAUGAUUCUGUAGAGUGUUCAAGUUUAUGCAACCUUUGCUUAGAAUUUAGCUCCUUUAGUCCUGGUAGUAUUUGGGUGAAACUACAGUGCACCAUUAGAAAGGCCAAUAUAUUUUUCUUGAAAUGCAGUGCCUGGAAUUGACUGCUGCACACAAGAGCUUUGUACACUUAAGCAUAACAUUCAUCCUUUGUAUUCCAGCUCUCAAGUUAAACACCAACAUAUCAUUGAUUUGAUUUUGUACUUUCACUAAGUUUUUAAAAUUUCUUUACUUAACCCCAAAUUCUCUCUGCUUAUCCACAGUUUCUGGCCAUUCAGAAAAUGUUUUGAUCUUUCUUUCAAGGGUAAAAAGUAUGCAGUUUGCCACAUUGAACUCCCCCGCCACAGUUUUGUCCACAGAUUAUCGAUAUCCCAGACAAACUUUUCAUUCCAAUCAGUUUACUGUGCCACAUAACUUCGAUGCUGUGAGUAAACUUAGAUAUGCAUUUCUCUCUAUUUCUUAAUCUCAAUUAAUUAUAGACACAGUAAAAAACUGAGUCCCAGAAUAGAUCACUGAUAGACACCAGGUCUAUUUUAAUUAUAUAUCUGUUAUCCUUAUUCUUGAUCUCCUAACUCCUAACCAAUUCUUUAUCCAAGCUGUUUGUUGCCAGAUGCUUUUCUUUUGGUGAAAGUCUCCUUUGUGGAACUUUUUUGAAUGCCUUCUGAAAAUCCAUAUAAAUAAUCAUAAGACCAUAAGAAAUAGGCAUAGGAGUAGUCCAUUUGGCCUCUUGAGCCUACUCCACCAUACAAUAGAAUCAUGGCUGAUCUGACAUUCCUCACAACAACUUUCCUGCCCUUUCCCUAUAUCCUUGAUUCCCCUACUGAUCAACAAUCAAUCCAUCUCAGACUUAAAUAUACACAAGGACUUUUCUCACACAGCUCUCUAUGGCAAAUAGUUCCAAAGACUCUCAACCCUCUGAGAGAAGGAAUUUCUCUUCAUCUUGGUCUUAAAUUGGCGCCCCUUUAUUCUGAGACAUGCCUUCUGGUCCUGGACUCUCCCAAGAGAGGAAACGUCCUUUCAGCAUUUAUCCUGUUAAGCUCCUUAAGAAUCUGAGACAUGGCAUUCAUAGAGACUCCCAUAUCUAACAUGUCAGUUUCCUAUUCAAACAAUUCAAAUUGGUUUGUUCGAUGUAAUGAACUUGUCUAGCUUUUUCUGAUCAAUUCAUAAUUGUUCAAAUCCUAAAUCAUAGAGACCCUAAUAACAGAAUCUAGUAAAUUCCCCAUAAUUAAUACUAAAUUAACAGAACCCUCAGCUCUUAGUUUACCUAUCUUAUCCUUCCAUAUUGGCAGAUUUUGAAUUCAAGACAACGAUUCCUGAAUCAAAUGUUUUAGAAGAUAAUGUCUAAUACAUUGACACAUUUCUCAAAUAAGGCUUUUUUUAACCCUUGUGACCUCACACCCACAUGGUUUUCACAAUUUAGUCCCUCCAAUAUCACACAUCCAUUUCUGACACUUUACCCUCAUAAGCCACCACCUAGCUGCAUAACCAGUUCACCCAAAUUCUCACAGUCAGGUCAGUCAUGGUCUUAAUAAAUGGUGGAAAAGGCUUAAGGGGAGGAAUGACCUAAUCUCAUAGCUAAUUCGUACAUUUGUGUAAACAGUUUUCCUUUUACAAUUCUGAAAAAGGUAAAUCUCAAAUUUUGAGUGUAAGACAAAUCAAAGUAGGAAAAGGUAACUUCAGGACUGAUGUCUGGAAAUUUAUGUAAAAACAUAAGAAAUAUUAGCAGGACGUGAUUAAUGACCAAAAGAAGAAAUUACUUUUCAUCUCCAUUUUAAGUGGAAACCAUUUAUUUGAAAUUGUGCUCUUAGUUCUCGAGUCCCUAACAAAGGAAAUCAUCCUCCUGGCAUCCACCCUGUCAAGCCCCUUCAGGACCUUCCAAUAAGAACUCCAGUUAUUCUUUGAAACUGUUUUGAGUAUAGGCUCAACGUUCUCAACCUUUCCUUGUAAGACAACCCCUUCUUCCCAGGAAUCAACCUAGUGAAUCUUUUUAAAUUGUCUCCAAAUGCAAAUACAUCCAUUCUUAAAUAAGGAGACAAAAAGUGUGCAGUAUCUUAGGGUGUGGUUUCAAUAAUGGCCCAUAUAAUUAUAGCAAGGCUUUCCUACUUUUAUACUUGAUCUCUUACAAUGCAAUGGCAUUGUGGGUCCACCUACACCAUAUGGACUGCAGCGGUUCAAGAAGGCAGUUCACCACCAUCUUCUUGACGGCCAAUAGGGAUGGGCAAUAAAUGCUAACCCAGCCAGUGGCAUCCACUUUCCAUAAAUAAAUGAAUAAAAAAGUGACUAACAUACCAUUUGCCUUCCUCGUUACUUAGCGGUACUUGCAUGCCGACCCUUUGUGGUUUAUGAAUAUGAUCUCUCUUUAAGUGGAGAAUCUUAUAUUUUCUCCACUUUAUGCUCCAUCUGAAGGACACCUUGUGCACAAUGAUAGAAUCCCUGUUUCUGAGAAGAAGCUCUAAAUUCAAGUACCCCCUCCAGCACCUGAUGCCCAAGAAAAGUGCAUUUGUAAUGUGGCCGAACUAGUGGCGAAUCAACCUGUAAAUACUCUCAACAUACAUCAAUCACGGGUGCUAAGAGUGGGAGAGGUUCAUGGUCAGCAGGUGAUACCAAGAAAAUUGGAGCAUCGCUAUUAAUAUAUCUGGAAGUGCAACAUGCAUAUAAAGGUGGAUGUUGCCACUGCAACUUAGAGUCUUGGAAGGGGCUCAGUUGAUAAACUGGUAUGGAUUAGUGCUAACAGCAUGGAACUCAAUCCCUAUUUCCGCUAGGGUGGAUUCAGGACAUAUGUUCUUAGUGGAGGUUAUUGCUACUGUAGGUUGGACCUGUUGGAGCAGACAAUUGAAGAAGAUACUCUCUACACACCUAAUUAACCAAUCUGUAUCCCUUUGCAACUACUUUUGUCCUCCUGUCAACUUGCUCCUACGUAGCUUCAUGUUGUUAGCGAAUUGGCUCCCAUAUAUUCUAUCUCUUUAUUCAUGUCAUCAAUAUAGGUUGUAAAUAAUUGAUCCCCAGCACUGAUCUGUGUGGCACUCCACUUGUUACAGUUUGCCAACCUGAAAAUGACUGCAUUUAUCUUGAUUCUGUGUUUUCUGUUGGUCAAUGCUCUAUCCACAUAUUAUCCCAACGCCAAGCAUCUUGUAUUAGUAAUCUUUUAUGUGGUACCUUCACUUGUCUUAUCCAGAGAGAAAUGAAAUGCACUUCACAAUAGAACGGUGAAUGUCAAACCCAUGACAGUUAAAAAAACAUUUGAAUGCCGAAAUAGAUGGACUAUUCAGGGUGGUUGAACUGUGUGUGUCAAGUGGUCCUGCUGAUUUGUGUUUUUACUGAUAGCUUCUGAAAAAAAAAUCCAUUUCAGAAUACGUAAGACAUUACCCCUAUUGUUUUCUAAAGAGAUUGACGUAUUUGGACUGCAGUCUCUUUUGUGUAUUAUGUACACAGAAUAACUGAAAAUUCUAAACUGUAUUACAGGAAUCCUGGGAUAAUUUGUCAGGAAUUUUUGGUAAACUGAGGUACAAACAGGAGAUUUCAUCUUAGUAUUGUCAGAUGUCCUGAAUUAAGUCUGGAUUCCAGUGUCAACUCAAGUUUUAGCAAAGCAUUACAACAUAUAAAUUAAUUAACUAGAGUCAUAUGCAGUGAAGAAUGCUGAUAUCCUCAUAUGAGAAGGAACAUUUCCCUAUUUUAUUUAUGGGCUUGGGAAAGAAAAGGAUGCAGCACAUAAAUUGAAUCCUAUUCUUCAAACUAGUUAAAAUCUGGUAGCGAUGAUAUCUGAUAAUAUUUACUUCCAGCUGAAUAGCACCUUUGAAAGGGCUAAUGUGACUGAGCACGUCAUCUUGUUACUAUCCUAUAAAAGUCAAAUUAGAAGGGUGCAGAAAAUUCAAGAUCAUUUUCACCAAGGAUACAAGGUUAAAGCGAUUGGCAAAGAGCUCUUGAAGCAGGUUUUCAAGAACAGAUAAAAUUUUAACAAGAAAAGUAUUGAAUCAAACAGAAACAAAAUUUUGAAGUGAAUCACCACUGUUAUUUAAUAGUUUGUCUCUGAAUCUGAGAAUAAAACAACAUAACAAUACAAAUACAUUUGUGUAAAAUUAAGUAAAACUAAACUAGGAUGUGAAGAUGACUGGAGCAAGGAGACAAUAUCUUGGAUAGCAACUUACAGCUGAUCCAAGGUGAAGCUAAAUUUCCUUGAGGAAAGCAGAACCAUUCAAUUCCAUAACAGUCAAUCUCCUUAAAGGAAGAUGUACCAUUUCUGUUCACAUCAAAGAUUCAAGUAUUCACAAAUACUUGAAAUAUAAUAGUUAUGCAUUAUGUAUAAACCAUAAAGUUUACCUUGACAUGUCCUGUUGUAACCUUGAACAAAACUGUUACUGGUGCUAAACAACCUCAGGCAAAACAGAGAUGUAAUGAAUCUCUUAACAUCUAAAUCAUAACCAAUUUAGUUUAUCAAUUGAUAGGAAAGUAUCAAAUGAUUAUACGUAAUCUUCUUGUUACACUGUCAUUGAUAUUAUUCAAUAGUUAGUUAGCAAACCUAUGUCUUGACUUCAUCCUAAUUGCUCUUCACUCAGCAAUGUAUUGUGGAUCUAUUGUGAUUGAGUGGCUAUCAAUUAAAUUUGGACUACAUUGUCUGAAAUGAUCUAAAGGAAAACUAGUGGAGGCAUGUUACAUGCCAUAAUUUAUAUCUUUUGUAAGCUACAUGUGCCUCACAGCAGCCUUGAAAACACCAGCAGGCUGCCUGUGAAGAUACUGUACAAACAAAUUUAAAGCUGCCACAUAAUGAAAUGAACAAGCUGUGCCCAACAAAAUGAGGUAAGCGGAGACUUGGUUGUGAUUGGUAGAUUACAAUCCAGUUUUUAAUUUGUAUGCAUUAGAAAUUGGUGAACAGAUGGGUAUAUUAUACUUUAACUAGAAUCAAUUGCCUGUUGGCAUUUUAGAUUACAAAUUGGGUAGAUUUUCAGAGUGACAUUGUCACGUGAAAAUGAAAGUUGUGGAAAGUCUGAUCCAGUUUCAUAGUUGGGCCUCAUUCAGAUAACACUGUUGAGCUGCUUUUGCCAAAGGUACCUGUAUGCUGAUUGAUAGCCCAAUAGGGGUGGAAGCUUGGCAAUGCUCAGCUCAGCUGAAAUUUUAUGGUAAGUGAAAUUGCGAAGAGGGGAAGUGGUCGUUAGACGGAGCUCCAGAAAGCUGAAGAUCGAGGCAAGUUUGGUGAAGGAAAACGUGAAUAGUCCCUACCUUUGUGGCUUUUGGAUUGGUUCUUUAAAACUGUUCCGUAUAUGCUCCAUCCAGUGAUUAUUUCAAAAUGACAUCAGGAUCUUACUGAUGGCAUUGAAGUCCAUUCCACAUGGUGCCCGGAUUUGACUGCUUCUGCUGGCUACUUGGGCCACUCAUCUUAAGGACUCCCACAAAAAUGGGUAAUCAAAAAAGCAAAAGGACUAACUGCUGUAUUGGAUAUUCAAUCACAUUAAUAUCCAGCAGUGUCGACAAAAGUCAGCUUUAAUUUUAUGGCAGUUAACUGUCAUGUAUAUUGCUUUUACAUUGCAUACAGUUUAUAUGUUUGGCUAUAUCCUAGUUUGAGCUCACUACCCAAUACAAGUGUAAAGUUGAAGGUAUGAAAAAAAAAUAGGCUGGAUCUCUCAUCGGAAAUGGACUUUCUGCUUUAGAUUCUGUGACAACUCAUCAGAAUUUAUGCCAAAUUAGUUGUGUUAAAAGAUUACUCCACUGUAUUCAAGAUUGCCAUUUAUGUUACAGUUCCAUGCAACUAAGAAUGAAUUGCCAUCUAUCAUUGGUAUGGUACAGUAACUUUAUGCACAUAAUGCAUUAUACAAGAACAUUUUGAGACAUGAGCAAUUUCUCAGUGGAAAGUCUUGGUUUCAUAUGCAAAACUUCAAGAACCAUGCCCAUGGAGGUGAGAGAUAGAACAGUACAAACCUGUCAAUGCACAGUACUCACAAAACAACACCACCAGUAACAGCUUGUGAGAUCAACAGCCACUCUCCCAAACAUAAAGUUAUGUACUGAGGAAUAAAACCAAUUUCAAAAAAGCCAGUUGACAUUACCUACAUUGUAGGUCACACUUGCAAAUGGAGGAUGAAAAUACAGCUUUUAUCAAUAUUUGAAGAUUUUCUAAGUUUUUUUGUUAUAGUGCACUUCCAAAUAAUUUCAAAGCAUUUUAACAAUGCAUUAAAUACCUAUUAAGAUAUGUUUGCUACAUUUAGCUCUUUUAUAAUAAAUAAAAAUAAAAUUAUUACUAACUCUCUUUAAAAAUGCAAGGGUUUUGGAUAUCUGUGAGGAUUCUAACAGACUUCUGCAUUACAUUGGCAGAGGUUUUGCAGAACCUCCAUGGAAACGAUGUUGAAUACUGAAUACUGGUUGAAUACCAAAUACCUCCAGUGAUUCUGCUAAUAUCAGAAUUUCCCUGGAACUUCAGAGCCAGAAAUUAUACUGUAUCAAAUGCUGUUAUUCGUUUAUAUGAGAACAUAAUACAAAUUGAGACUGGUAAUUUUGCUUAUUGGUUACAGAAUUAAAGAAGAAACUGUAUGUAUAUAUACACACUUCUAGACACCCAUAUUAUGCAGCUACUUAAGGAAUAAAGGAAACUUUAAAGGCGAAAAUUGACGCAAAAUUUGCAAAAAGAAAAUUACUUAUGUAUUAUAAAAUCACAGAAUCAAACAACUGAAGAGUGUUUAGUGUAAAUUCAUCUUUUCUAUGAAUAAAUAUUUUUCAGCAAAAUUGACACUCAGAAUUUAAGUAUCUUUAAGUGACUGCUGUUGAGACCUUCAUUUUAUUAUUAUUUUUCUCAUUUUUGGAUUAAAACUGUGAGCUGAAGUUGAGAAUCAAACUUUGAACUUUGAGCAGUUGCUUUUGGAAAAGAGAAAGCAAACAAACUGAUUUUCGUUUGUGGGAACUGGCCUCAAAGUAAUUGUGGGUAAUAAUUUUCCAGGACCAUGACAGACUUUUCAACACCGGUGUGUUGGUCAAGGACGGUCGGAUGGUUAAAUGUUGAAUGGGUCAGCCAAGGAUCGAAUGCUGCUGGCCAGCCAAUCAGAGAGAAUGUUGAAAACGAAAGAGAAACUAUUGUUUGAUAACAAGGUGUAGAGCUGGAUGAACACAGCAGGUCAAGCAGCAUCAGAGGAGCAGGAAAGCUGACAUUUUCUGAAGAAGGGUCUAGGCCCGAAACAUCAGCUUUCCUGUUCCUCUGAUGCUGCUUGAUCUGCUGUGUUCAUCCAGCUCUACAUCUUGUUAUCUCAGAUUCUCCAGCAUCUGCAGUUCCUACUAUCUCUGAAACUAUUGUUUGAACUUGUUUGUUAGGGGUUUUGGCCAGAAGGCUGUGUACAUGGAAGCUGUUGGAUGGGAAGCUGUUUUGAAUCUUACUUUCUCUCGUUUUAUACCCAAUUAAAGAUUUAUGGAAGGUUUUGAGGAAAGAACUUCCAACCUGUGGGACAUAAAUAAAAUUCUCCAGCAGUCUGUAGAAGGUGUUUGUAUGAAUCAGUGACUUAAGAAUUCAAGCAACGUACAAUCCUGUGUGCCGGGAAUACAAUGCAUCGUUCAAGGAUUUCUGAAGGCCUAUUACACAUCUUAAAACCAUUAACUAGCAAACUACAAUUCUUUAUUUUUCUUUAAUUUAUCCCUUAACUGUGCCUGUCCAUCCAGUUGUGUGUGACUGGGCUUGGUGUUUAAAGAAAGUUGAGUUUAGAUUGUGGAUAUUAAGUAGAUCACCUUGUUGUUUAUCUGCAUUCUGCUAAAGUUGUAUUGAUAACAAUAAACCAAUAAGAUUUUUGUUUAAUUAUA